UUCCUCUGAUAUAAUGUUAUUAUGUUAAACUCAUAUUUAUAUUUAUAAUAAUUUACAUUAAAAUAUUCCUUAUUAUAUGUCCUUAUUUCCUCACAUUUUCCUCCUCAAACACCAUGCUUCAAUGCCACUUUCCAUAGGGCAACUAUUCAGAAAUAAUUGUUUCAAUUAAGCUCACACAGUACUUUGUGGAAACUUCACUUUAGGUACCUAUUUCUUCUAUCUUUUAAAGAUUUUUUUUUUAUUUAUUCAUUUGACAGAAGGAGAGCACAAGCUGGAGAAGUGGCAGGCAGAGGGAGAGGGUGAUGCAGGCUCCCCAUUGAGCAGGGAACCCAACUCAGGGCUCGUUUCCAGGACCCUGGGAUUCUUGAACUGAGCUGAAGGCAGAUGCAUAACCUAUUGAUCUACCCAGGCACCCUUUCUUCUUCUUUUUAUUUAAACUGGAUUGAGAAUGCUGAGCCUCAAGUCAAAUCUUCACACAGUCGGUUGUCAAAGCAAGACAGAAAAUUGAGGAACAGAAGUCCUACAUCAUGUUUUUCCUGCAGACAUAUGGUAAGAAUAAGUGAUAUGUUUGCUGCUGUUUGCUGCCCUUCCCUGAAGGUCUCAAAGGCAAAUAUCAUAGGACUACGACUUACAAACCAUGUUUUACAGUUACCAGGAAAAAAAAAAAAAAAGAAAUCCUGUUAGGGACUCUAUAAAGUACACUGGUAUGGGUACCUGAUACCAGACUAAAAAUACAGCUAAUUUAAAGACCCAGUUGCCAUACACACUGACAACUGCUAAACAUCCAGUCUCUCAUCUGGACCACAAAUUCAUCUUCUUGUAUGAUGGACUUAUCUUCGACGUUAAGAAUUUUAUUUAUCAAUUAACCCUGUAAAUUCUCUGGAAAAUUUACAUGUUCCUGAUAUGAGAGCCC
rnacentral:lncRNA from 12 species